rnacentral:rRNA from 1 species
GCCUACGGGAGGCAGCAGUGGGGAAUUUUGGACAAUGGGCGCAAGCCUGAUCCAGCUAUUCCGCGUGUGGGAUGAAGGCCCUCGGGUUGUAAACCACUUUUGUAGAGAACGAAAAGACACCUUCGAAUAAAGGGUGUUGCUGACGGUACUCUAAGAAUAAGCACCGGCUAACUACGUGCCAGCAGCCGCGGUAAUACGUAGGGUGCGAGCGUUAAUCGGAAGUACUGGGCGUAAAGGGUGCGCAGACGGUGGAGUAAGCCAGAUGUGAAAUCCCCGAGCUUACCUCGGGAUUGGCAUAGGUGACG